GAAGUAGAGCAUUUAUUAAUAAUAAGAACAAUAUAACAAUGCAAAGGUAAUAUAUUUAAACAUAGCACAAAAUAUCUAUAAGGAUAUGUCCUAUACCAGAACACAUUUUUACAAUCAUAAUCACAUUAAAGAGUAAGCAGAUUUUAUACUGGUGUAGUCAAACUUUCCCCUCUCUUAACAGGGAUUGAUAGGAGCCGUUCAUGCUUUGGCAUAGGCCCCUGUAGAUUUUUCUUGAGAUCCACUUCCUGUUGCCUUGGAGUUUGAAGUGUUACAGGUUACCAUUGUGAUGCUGAUUAGUCUAUGGCUUGAGGGUAAAUAAUCCUGGUAUUGUAUCAAUACAACAGAACUUUUAAGUGUAUCCAUCAUAUAGUUAAUUCAACAACCAAAGACAAUUAAAUGGGAAUAUGCUAGUGUUUUUUUGUUUUGUAUUCAGUUCCUCCGGCAUAGGCCCAAGUCCAGUGAAAAGAAAAUAGCACACAGGAGAGAA
rnacentral:lncRNA from 1 species